CAAGUGAAUAAGAGAUUAAGAGGAAUGCACACACACUGAACUGAACUCGUUUUCAGGGAGGUUGUCUCGUUCUGUUAAGAAUCCUAUAGACUAGAGUUCCUCGAGGAAGACAAGUUCAUUUUAAGAGAAAAUAGGAACAAGGAACAAGAGAUGCGCAUACUAUGAUCUUAUUUUAGGAGGGGUUGUUUCAUUCUGUGAAGAAUCUUGGACACAGGAAUUCCUCAAAUUUAAUAAGAUCAUGUAGAGAAUACAGGAGAAUUCACUUGAUAGAGAUUUGCGAAUACAGAGGUUCGCGAGUCAAGAGGUUGGUGAGUCAGAAGUUUGUGGACAACGAAGUUCACGGCUAUUAAAUACUGCAGUUCGUGAAUAAAAGGGGUUCCCGGGAAAAAGAAUAAAGGGAGUCACACAUUUCAAGUUACAGCAAAAGGAAGGGCGAGAUUGAUAGGGAAAGAAUUGACCUCCAUUUGUGUGACAUUAAUAAAAAUAAAUAAGGCCGCUAAGAAAAUAAAAAGAGGAGGGGAGAAGAGGAGUUUGUAAUCUGUGUGUCGUGUCCUUCUUUGUAAUUUGUUUUGUGUUGUUAAAGUAUAAAGAUGGAUGGGGAAUUUGAUAGGGAGUUGGAGUGGUUCAAUACCCGUGUUAUUCCAAACCACGGCCGUAAUGUGCUGCUAAGUGAUCAAGUGAGAAGUGCAUGUAGUGUGUGUGUGGGCGCUUUGCCAGAGAAAAGUAGAGAAGAAAAAAGGGAUGAACUGAGAGAGUGGGUGAGAGAAUGUUGUGACAAUGGCUGGAUGUCUUCGGCUGCGUGCUUGGUGACUCUGAUGAAAGAAGUAGAAAAAGCAUGUUUGAAUAAAAAGGAAAAAUUGGAGGAAGAUGUGAAAAUUACAAACAAGUUGUCUCCGAGAGGCAGGAAGUGUGGGAGUCAAGCAGCUGCCCUCUGCGCCGCCACCCUAUUGUGAGUCUGCCGUGGGGCGACAGAGCGUGCCUAUAAACCCUUUCACCGACUCACCUUAUGCAAACGUAAAACAAAUGCUUUAAGAUACAUCUGUACCGGUUUGUCCUAUUUUGUCAGUUAAUGGAGGCAGCCUACAAGUGAACUGGGAUGGAGUUGGCGCUGCGCGUCGACCACCUUCUGAUCCGACCAGACAGACAGCUGCGGACUCGCUGGCUGCAGGAGUCACUGCUUCAAUCGACAUGAUACAAAAAGAAUUUGAUAAACUAAUGAAAUACAGGUGUGAGCCGCGACAAUUGCUAGACAGAGCUAUAAAAUUAAAAUGUUUGUUGACAAGACAUGAGGAAGUGCCGAGGAAUGUUAAUGACAAUCUACUCACACUCUUAAAAGAAGCAGAGGAGAAAGCACACAGAAAGGAAGAGGAAGAGAUGAAACGAAGCCGUGAGGCCAGAGAUGUUAUUUUUGAAGAGAGACAGAAGGAGAUAGAGGAGGGGGAAUGACGAAAGCAUAUGGCGACUGUGAAUACACACCUAUACAUGUCCCAGCUGCAGAAGGAGAUGA